rnacentral:rRNA from 1 species
CAGUCGCCGCGGUAAUACGAAGGGGGCUAGCGUUGCUCGGAAUGACUGGGCGUAAAGGGCGCGUAGGCGGAUCACGCAGUCAGAUGUGAAAUUCCUGGGCUUAACCUGGGGGCUGCAUUUGAGACGCGUGGUCUAGAGUGUGAAAGAGGGUCGUGGAAUUCCCAGUGUAGAGGUGAAAUUCGUAGAUAUUGGGAGGAACACCAGUGGCGAAGGCGGCUCACUGGCUCGAUACUGACGCUGAGGUGCGAAAGCGUGGGGAGCAAACAGGAUUAGAUACCCCCGUAGUCCCUGUCUCUUAUAC